CUCAUAUUAGUUGACAUUCUGAAAUCAAUUUUGAUUUCCAAAAUCAUAGACAGUGAACUGUGCUAAUUCAUAGCAAGUCUAAGCUAAUUCAAUAAAUUGAAUAUUGUUUUUGCAAGUUAUAAUGGGGUAAAUAAUAGUUGGUGGAUCUUAAUUCCCAAUGUACCUCAAUUUUUCUGUAGUAGGAAUAAAGACCUUCAAUAUAAUCAGUAACUGCAAGAGGAUUAUUCGCAUCUCCGACAUCGAUGUCCACAAUAGGCUCUUCGGCAGACUACAAUAAUAUCCUCCAUCUCCAAUUCCUCCUAACAGACCAAUUAAUUCACAGUCACCAACUAAAUUCUGAGAUAAGAAAUACAUAAAUAUAAAUGAAAGAGAUGUUAAAAGAAAUACCAUUUGAUCAGAUUCACUAUGCACUGUUUGCUCCAGAGACAUAGGCACUGGCUGAUCUUCUGCCUUGAGUUCAUCAUCAACAAAUAUAUACUCCCCAAAUCCAUUCGAAUUUGCAACUGUCAAGUUUGACUUCUUGGUUUCCUGUUCAAAAUUGAUCCCAACCUAAUCUUAGUUCCAAUAGUUCAAGAUCUAUGCAGUGCAACAAAUUUCAGCAAAAAGAAAAAUAAAAGACUACCUCAGCUUGAGAUUGCUGAGUGCUGCUAGCAAUUUUUGCAGCAAACCUCCCAAGAGUGAUGGUCAAAGACAAAGAGAUAGGGAAGAAUUAGUGUUAGUUGUAAGCUUUGAGUUCUCUAACUCUUCUAUAGGUAAAUGAUUUGGUAGUCUCAACUUAGUCCCUAGUACAAAACAAUACUUUCAAUUUAUGUUCUCCAAAGUGUCCUUCUAGAUACAUUGCAGCCAUAAUUGAUUCACCUUUACAUUUAUCAAGUCCACAUUGUGUUCCAUCAAGAAGCUAUAAAAGAAUUCCAUAAAAUUCUUCUUUCAGAGUCAUUCCUUUUAUUACACAAAACUACAAAAAUCAUUAUGAGCUAGGCACAAAAUUCCACUUAGAUCCCUCGACAGUGUGUGCAUGGUCCUUGCGUUUUUUAAAAAUAGGUCUUCUUGCUCCAACAGUCACUUGAUAUACUUUCCUAUCUUUCUGCAUUUGUAGGCAUUGAAGUUCCACAACAAACAUUGAUAGGGACACUUAGAAAAAUAACUUUAAUUUGCAUUGUGCUUAAUGAUAGAGCAUCAACCUGAAGUGGUUUAAAGAAAUUAUAAACACAGCUAUAAAUCUGGCUUGAUGAGUUUGAUUGCUCACUUUACUAAUUCCCCUUGCCACACAUGCUGUUUUAGAGCCAUUUAUCCAAAGGAAUGAAGACGGGGUUAGCUUCUUUACUCACUCAACAAACCAUAAAAUUGGAUUGGUUUACCAUGAAGACCCUUGCCACAAAUGAUUGUGCAUUGAAUAUUCCACUUCAACUAAAUUAAGCCAUCAAAACCACAAUAAAGUUCCAGAUAAGUGAAUGAACUUUUUAGAUAACCAUCUCAUAAUCAUAAAAACAGAUAAGCAUAGUUUCACAUAGAAGAAUCAAGUAAGUAAAUGUCCCAUGAAGAGAAUGAACUAUUUGUUUAUCAUUUGUUUAAGUUUGUAUUCUGCAAUGAAUGCAGUAUGUAAAACUAUCAACACCAUCACAUUUGAUUAAGGGAAUCACUGGGCCGAAAAGCUAUAUGUAUUUGAAAAGUGAAUGAUGCAAAUAAAACAACAAAGAAGUACCAGAUCUCUCAUAAUGAACUACCUAUAUGCAGAAAUAUUUUGUAGUUGAAGCAGAGCCAUCUCGUGCAAUCUCCAAAAGUUUAACAUUAGAAUUGAAGUAUAGCCUCCUCAUGCAAUCACCAAAAGUAAACUGCAGGUACAGAGUCUUAAGCAUUAAUCAGGCAUAAUUUUGUACAGAAAACAUGGAGACUUAGCUACUCAUUUACAUGAAUGAACUUACAAAUUGUAUAUGCACCAAAAGUAAACUGCAGGUACAAAGUCUUAAGCAUUAAUCAGGCAUAAUUUUGUACAGAAAACAUGGAGACUUAGCUACUCAUUUACAUGAAUGAACUUACAAAUUGUAUAUGCACCAAAAGUAAACUGCAGGUACAAAGUCUUAAGCAUUAAUCAGGCAUAAUUUUGUACAGAAAACAUGGAGACUUAGCUACUCAUUUACAUGAAUGAACUUACAAAUUGUAUAUGCACCAAAAGUAAACUGCAGGUACAAAGUCUUAAGCAUUAAUCAGGCAUAAUUUUGUACAGAAAACAUGGAGACUUAGCUACUCAUUUACAUGAAUGAACUUACAAAUUGUAUAUGCACCAAAAGUAAACUGCAGGUACAAAGUCUUAAGCAUUAAUCAGGCAUAAUUUUGUACAGAAAACAUGGAGACUUAGCUACUCAUUUACAUGAAUGAACUUACAAAUUGUAUAUGCACCAAAAGUAAACUGCAGGUACAAAGUCUUAAGCAUUAAUCAGGCAUAAUUUUGUACAGAAAACAUGGAGACUUAGCUACUCAUUUACAUGAAUGAACUUACAAAUUGUAUAUGCACCAAAAGUAAACUGCAGGUACAGAGUCUUAAGCAUUAAUCAGGCAUAAUUUUGUACAGAAAAUACUAAUUAUGGAGACUUAGCUACUCAUUUACAUGAAUGAACUUACAAAUUGUAUAUGCACCAAAAGUAAACUGCAGGUACAAAGUAUAUAUUAGCUUCCUAUGUCAUUGGCCUAUACAUGGAAGGCGUGUCAAUUAGCCCUUACAGGUUUUUCCUGUUAACAGGUCACAUUACUUAGUGGACCAGCUCUAAAUGAUAAUUUAAGAUGAAUGCGACAAUCACAAUACCUGUAUUCAUAGAAAAAUAGUGCAUAUAAAAGAUCAGAUAUGAGAA
rnacentral:lncRNA from 1 species